rnacentral:rRNA from 1 species
CCUACGGGAGGCAGCAGUGGGGAAUAUUGGACAAUGGGCGAAAGCCUGAUCCAGCAAUUCCGCGUGUGUGAAGAAGGCCUUCGGGUUGUAAAGCACUUUAGUGGGGGAAGAAACAGCUUGGCCACACCAAGCCUUGACGGUACCCCAAGAAUAAGCACCGGCUAACUCUGUGCCAGCAGCCGCGGUAAUACAGAGGGUGCAAGCGUUAAUCGGAUUUACUGGGCGUAAAGGGUGCGUAGGUGGCUAUUUAAGUCGGAUGUGAAAGCCCGGGGCUCAACCUCGGAAUUGCAUUCGAUACUGAGUGGCUAGAGUUCGGUAGAGGGCGGCGGAAUUUCCGGUGUAGCGGUGAAAUGCGUAGAUAUCGGAAGGAACAUCAAUGGCGAAGGCAGCCGCCUGGGCCUGGACUGACACUGAGGCACGAAAGCGUGGGUAGCAAACAGGAUUAGAUACCCUGGUAGUCCACGCCGUAAACGAUGAGAACUUGACGUUGGUUCGUUUUACGAAUCGGUGUCGCNGCUACGCGAUAGUUCUCCGCCGUGGGAGGUACGGCCGCGAGGUUAGAACGUAACUAAUAGUUAGUUAGUACGGCGUUGAGACGUUGCCGACGGACGACGACGAGGGAGGAGG